GCGUCGCUCACGCUGGGAGCUGUAGACCGGAGCUGUUCCUAUUCAGCCAUCUUGGCUCCUCCCCUGACUGAUGUCCUCCUUAUAGGAAUGGGAAAUUCAGAUGCAGACAGGUGCUGAAGACCAUGUGAAGGCACAGGGAGGAGGUGGCCAUCUGCAAGCCAAGGAGAGAAGCCUCAGAAGAAACCAACCCUGCCAACACCGUGACCUCAGACUCCAGCCCCCAGAACUAUUCCAUAGAAUGUUCCCUGUUUCUUCAUCUAUGACAUGGGGAUAAUGUGAGUAUACCUACAUCAGAGGGCUGCGAUGAAGACUAAAUAAGGACGAGCACUCAUAUAAGUCGACAAUGCAUCUGCAUUCUAGAAAAUAAUUCAGUGUUCCAGACAAGAAUAUUGUUGAUUUUUGAAGAAAUUUCCCAUACCUACACUAAAGGAACACCAAAUUUAUUACUGUAUCAGUGAGACAGCUGUUGUGACAGUAAAGUGAGACCCUUGUAGCAAAAGCACUUUUCGGACUCCAUGAUGUUAGGAAACUGCAAAACACCUUCUUCUGAGUCCAGAGACUGGAAAAUGAACUCUUGUGUGAUGAUGAACACUGUUACAGAGAAACAUUGAGCAGGCAAAGAGGACAUUGAGAAUUUCCAGGACGGUAACACUAAGAUGACGACAAAUUUUUCAUUGAAGUAGAAACUAAAAACAAGGAAAAUAUUUUAGAACUGAUCUGUCAUGUACAUGUCUGGCCAGGCCACCCCAUCUUUUUUGUGUGUGCAAUGAUUCUCUGCCGGAUAAAUAUUUGUUAAAUAUGUAAAUAAAUGUCUCCCUCCAUCUGAAAAGUAAGCACCACCAGGGUAGGCAUUUUAUGUUUUUUACUGAUGUAUCCCACACGCUGAGAACUAUACCUGACAC
rnacentral:lncRNA from 1 species